ACUCUUCGUGUGUGCUCUUGUUCUGCUUAUUUCAGAAUAAGCAGAUUAUUAAUCUCUGCUUAUUCUGGAAUAAGCAGAGCAAGAGCGCACACGACUUCAC
rnacentral:pre_miRNA from 1 species